GGUACUGCAGAGUGCGCUGAUUGCUUUGUUUGUUGGUUGUUGUAUGGAAACUCUGCCCGCAGAGACUCUCCGAUAAGGCUCAUCCGCAGUGCUGAUGACGACAGUGGUGGUAAUGAUGAUAUAAUCCCCUGGAAUACUGGAUCCUAUGAACAUGAAAGCAGCAGGGCAAACCUCAUCUGAAUAAUAUAAUCCUAAAGUAGAUGCCACUCCUUACUUCUUACUUAAUUACAUCAACAAGAUAAAUCUAACUGCCUUGCUGCAAAAAAGGAUGAAAGGGGCUCCACUGUGAACUGAAGUUUGAGUUGAGAUGCCUUAUACUGGCUGAUGUUCUGAAAUUAGCAUGAAACAGCACCAGAGGAAACAGAGGGAUUCUUCAGUGUUGUACAAAGGACCCUGUGAACUUUCCAAAUGCCUGAGAUCUCAUUACUGACAACAUUUUUUUGCCCUCCAAGUUUUCACGUGGUGACCUUAUGGCUUCCAUAGGAGCGCAGAUGCAGAUUUCCUCUCCAGUGAAAUGGCACGAACAGAGUGAAAAACACAGUCUUUAAGAAGACAAGCUGUGCGCCACCGACAUAAUUAGGAAAGCUGCUUGGGAGGCAAGCAGUGGACAUCUAAUGAGCUAGAGAGGAUAAGGUGGGAAAUGAGAGUGUGGCUAUGUAGUGGAGGCACUGUUUGAGUUUUCCUUUAGGUGGGCUGAAAAACAAAAUAUUAAGCCUGCGGAAGCCCUUCCAGAGUUUGGGGAUUCAAAGCUCUAAGGAUACUCAUGCCACUGUAUAAAGAGAAGAGAGAGAGACAAGAGAGUGUUCUGCCUUUAGUGACUGUGGCUGAUGACUACUCUUUGACCCAAAUCCACUUUGAAAGGCAACAUCAAUGCCAGCAGGAAAAAGUCACAGAAAAUGUUUUUAAUGAUUUCAAUCUAGAAACAGGAUUUUAAGUAGGCCAUGUGACAUAUUCUGACAAAAGUGCAAGGAAGAUUUUAAGUACAAGUAAUCUGACUUUAAGGGUAACCACUACAAAACAAAGGACUCUUUGUCAUUGUAUUUUAGAGCCCCUUAAAAAAUGCAUGAACCCUGAGUAGCUGUGUGACUUUAGACAAGUUGCCAAACUUCUCUGACCCUCCAGUAUCCUUUUUUUUGACCCUCCAGUUUCUGAUCUACAUAAAGACAAAAAUAGUAGUCUUUAUUUCAAAGAUAAAUUCUGUGAGAAUUAACUAAAAUAGUCCAUAAAAACACUGAAGAGCACCAUCCCAUAAAAAUGAGUGUUAGCUAUUUUUGUCAUUGUUAUCAGAAAUGAUGAGGAUCUUAACACAGUGGGAGCAGCAAUAGAGGGAAACAUGAUGACAUUUGAGAAAUAUCUAGAUAGUAAAAUCAGGAAAUCUGGAGAUUCAUUGACUAUGUGUGUAACAGAAAGAAGUUAUCUAGGAUAAUUCCCAGAAUUUAAUAUGGACAGUUGUGUGGAUGAAAGGUAAUCAUUUGAAAUUGAGAGGACCAAAGAGGAUGAAUGUUGAAUGGAGAGGAUGAUGAAGAAGACUAGUUAGGGAAUCAUGAAGUUCUCAUUGAUUAUUCCAGGACAGGACAACAAAGUGUUUGGUCUUAGAAGACAAAGAACUCUUAAAGGAGACUAAAAUAAAUUGGUACCAGAAGCAUGUGGAAAAUCCAGUGUGUUUAGUGAAAUGGAAACAAAGGAUUAGAAAGGGUCAAAGAGACAAUGAUUUAACCAAAGAAAGGAAGAAAAAUAGUGCAGAGAGAGAACAGUACACAUAGAAGCCUAGAGGGCAGAAAAGGGUUUAGUGACUAAAAACAGGGCAAGACAGAGGAAAUAAUAUAAAAUAGGACUAAAAAUGAAGUCAAGAAGCCGGUAAUAUUUUGGAUUUUACUUGAAGGCAAUAGGAGACCAUUGAAUAACCUCAUGCAGGGGCAUGCUCUAAUCAAAUUUUAUCAUUAGGAAGACAAAAAGGAAAAAAAGUUAUGGAUAAUAGGUCAGAGAGGAACAAGCCUGGAGUCAGAAUGACCAUUUGGGAAGCAAUUACAAGAAUGGAGUGGGGAGCAGGGGGAUGUAGAUAGGAUGAGGUUGUGAUUCUAGGGUAGUUAAGGGAAUAGACUCAAGACAUUUGGAAAGUUAAUAAUACAAAGAAGGUAAGGAUGAAAACCUGAUUUAAGACCAUACAUCUAGGUAGAUAAUAAUGAGCAGAGGGAAAGAAAUAGAUUUGUUGGGAAGAUAAAUAGCCCCAUUUUAGGUUUACUAUGAUUUUUCAUUUUCUUUAGACAUUGGAUAGGAGAUGUUGGGAGAUGCCUUCACAGAUAUUUGUCUCAGGAGAGAAAACUAUAUUGGAAAUACAGAUCUGAGAGCCAUUAGCCCAUGAAUUAUACUUGGUUUGCAGAAGAAAGUGAAAGGGCAAAAAAGAAAGUAGCCCAGGAAAGAACUUGAAGAGCAAGCAUUAAUAUAAGAGGACAAGAGGAGGCUCCUGAAAGUAGACUAUGAAAGAAUGACCAUCAAUACAGGAGCAACUCGAAUAGAUCAUUUCACCAUAACAUUGAAAAAGGAACAUCUCUGGAAGAAAGUGACUGGGUUAUUAGUAGGAGAAAAUAAUUCAAAAAAGUCAAGCAAGAUGAGUACUCAGGACUAUCUAUGGAACCUAAACACAAAAUCAUCAGAACCCUUGGGAAGAGAGAACUAAUGAAGGUGAGGAAGGAUUGUAACUUGGCCUGUGGUAAUAUUACAUCUUCCAUUCAAAAUCUGGGUGAUGAGGCUGGCAACAAUUUUAGAUAGUGACCUCUCUUCAAUAAGACCCCCUAACCGGGAACCCUGGGUGGCGCAGCGGUUUAGCGCCUGCCUUUGGCCCAGGGCGCGAUCCUGGAGACCCGGGAUCGAAUCCCACGUCGGGCUCCUGGUGCAUGGAGCCUGCUUCUCCCUCUGCCUAUGUCUCUGCCUCUCUCUCUCUCUCUCACUGUGUGACUAUCAUAAAUAAAUAAAAAAAGAUUUUAAAAAAGACCUCUUAACCUAGAAUGGGUCUUAAAAGAUGAGGAAGUCAGGGCAAUUUACACGUUCAAUGCAAUCCCUAUCAAAAUACCAUGGACUUUCUUCAGAGACUUAGAACAAAUUAUUUUAAGAUUUGUGUGGAAUCAGAAAAGACCCCGAAUAGCCAGGGGAAUUUUAAAAAAGAAAACCAUAUCUGGGGGCAUCACAAUGCCAGAUUUCAGGUUGUACUACAAAGCUGUGGUCACCAAGACAGUGUGGUACUGGCACAAAAACAGACACAUAGAUC